UACAGAGGGGGCAAGCGUUGUUCGGAAUUACUGGGCGUAAAGGGCGCGUAGGCGGCCGCCUAAGUCAGACGUGAAAUCCCUCGGCUCAACCGGGGAACUGCGUCUGAUACUGGGUGGCUUGAAUUCGGGAGAGGUGAGUGGAACUGCGAGUGUAGAGGUGAAAUUCGUAGAUAUUCGCAAGAACACCAGUGGCGAAGGCGGCUCACUGGCCCGGUACUGACGCUGAGGUGCGAAAGCGUGGGGAGCAAACAGG
rnacentral:rRNA from 1 species